GGUGAUUCUCAGGUGAUGCAUCCCAGAGUCGGGUUUCCUUCUCUCUGGUUCCAGGUGUGUCACCCAAGAACCACA
rfam:Myotis davidii contig118175, whole genome shotgun sequence.